rnacentral:ncRNA from 2 species
ACCUUAUCCAGAGUGGUGGAGGGACUAGGCCCUAUGAAACCCGGCAACCGGCUAUAUGCGUGGUGCCAAUACCUACAGAAAAUCUGAAUGAUAAGGA